rnacentral:rRNA from 1 species
AGGAUGAACGCUGGCGGCGUGCUUAACACAUGCAAGUCGAACGGUGAAGCAGGAGCUUGCUCUUGUGGAUCAGUGGCGAACGGGUGAGUAACACGUGAGUAACCUGCCCUUGACUCUGGGAUAAGCACUGGAAACGGUGUCUAAUACCGGAUACGACCUCCGAAGGCAUCUUCUGGAGGUGGAAAGAAUUUCGGUCAAGGAUGGACUCGCGGCCUAUCAGCUAGUUGGUGAGGUAACGGCCCACCAAGGCGACGACGGGUAGCCGGCCUGAGAGGGUGACCGGCCACACUGGGACUGAGACACGGCCCAGACUCCUACGGGAGGCAGCAGUGGGGAAUAUUGCACAAUGGGCGCAAGCCUGAUGCAGCAACGCCGCGUGAGGGACGACGGCCUUCGGGUUGUAACCUCUUUAGUAGGGAAGAAGCGAAAGUGACGGUACCUGCAGAAAAGCACCGGCUAACUACGCGCCAGCAGCCGCGGU